AAUAGAUACCCUGGUAGUCCACGCCGUAAACGGUGGGCGCUAGGUGUGGGGGACUUUCCACGUCCUCUGUGCCGCAGCUAACGCAUUAAGCGCCCCGCCUGGGGAGUACGGCCGCAAGGCUAAAACUCAAAGGAAUUGACGGGGGCCCGCACAAGCGGCGGAGCAUGUGGCUUAAUUCGACGCAACGCGAAGAACCUUACCAAGGCUUGACAUGCAGAGAAAUCUCGUAGAGAUACGGGGUCCGCAAGGGCUUUGCACAGGUGGUGCAUGGUUGUCGUCAGCUCGUGUCGUGAGAUGUUGGGUUAAGUCCCGCAACGAGCGCAACCCUUGUCCUAUGUUGCCAGCGAGUAAUGUCGGGGACUCAUAGGAGACUGCCGGGGUCAACUCGGAGGAAGGUGGGGAUGACGUCAAAUCAUCAUGCCCCUUAUGUCUUGGGCUGCACACAUGCUACAAUGGUCGGUACAAAGGGCUGCGAGACCGCAAGGUGGAGCGAAUCCCAAAGAGCCGGCCUCAGUUCGGAUUAGGGU
rnacentral:rRNA from 1 species